UGGUACAGCUAUACUGCCUGAACACACUGGUUCUUGUCUGAUCCUGAAAGCUAAUCAGGUUUGAGCCUCGUUACUAUUUGGAUGGGAGGCCAUCUGAGAAUACUGGGUGCUGUAGGCU
ensembl:rRNA 5S_rRNA 5S ribosomal RNA